UGUUGCGGGCCGGUGCCUAAUACAUGCAAGUCGAGCGAGCGUGAAUUCAAAGAUCCCUUCGGGGUGAUCCUUGUUGGACGCUAGCGGCGGAUGGGUGAGUAACACGUGGGCAAUCUGCCCUAAAGACUGGGAUACCACUUGGAAACAGGUGCUAAUACCGGAUAACAACAUGAAUCGCAUGAUUCAAGUUUGAAAGGCGGCGCAAGCUGUCACUUUAGGAUGAGCCCGCGGCGCAUUAGCUAGUUGGUGGGGUAAAGGCCUACCAAGGCAAUGAUGCGUAGCCGAGUUGAGAGACUGAUCGGCCACAUUGGGACUGAGACACGGCCCAAACUCCUACGGGAGGCAGCAGUAGGGAAUCUUCCACAAUGGACGCAAGUCUGAUGGAGCAACGCCGCGUGAGUGAAGAAGGUCUUCGGAUCGUAAAGCUCUGUUGUUGGUGAAGAAGGAUAGAGGCAGUAACUGGUCUUUAUUUGACGGUAAUCAACCAGAAAGUCACGGCUAACUACGUGCCAGCAGCCGCGGUAAUACGUAGGUGGCAAGCGUUGUCCGGAUUUAUUGGGCGUAAAGCGAGCGCAGGCGGAAUGAUAAGUCUGAUGUGAAAGCCCACGGCUCAACCGUGGAACUGCAUCGGAAACUGUCAUUCUUGAGUGCAGAAGAGGAGAGUGGAACUCCAUGUGUAGCGGUGGAAUGCGUAGAUAUAUGGAAGAACACCAGUUGGCGAAAGGCGGCUCUCUGGUCUGCAACUGACGCUGAGGGCUCGAAAGCAUGGGUAGCGAAACAGGAUUUAGAUACCCUGGGUAGUCCCAUGCCGUAAACCGAUGAGCGCUUAGGUGGUUGGGGGACUUUUCCGGGUCCUCAGUUGCCCGCAGCAAACGGC
rnacentral:rRNA from 1 species